AUGUCGAUGCCGCGCCGGGCGGCAGAGGUCGCCGUGGCGGAGGCGGAUGCCCUGAUCUCGCUGCCGACGGGCGUCCUCGACGACAUCCUCGACCGCGUCGGCCUCCUGGACGCCGUCCGCACGUCGGCGCUCUCCCGCGCCUGGCGACGCCGGUGGGAGGACCUCCCGUCCAUCGACUUCUACUUCCCCCGCCCCGACGAGGCCAAGCACCUGAGGUCCGUCGACAGCGUGCUCCUCCGCUGCCCCGGCCGCGUCCGGCGCUUCUGGGCGCACCUCGACGAACCCUCCGAGGCGCGCAUCCACGACUGGCUCCUCGUCCUCUCCCGCCGGGGCGUCGACACCCUCAACCUCAGGCCCAUCCCCUUCGACGCCGUCCUCGCGCUCCCCGCCUCCGUCUUCGCCUGCCGCCGGCUCACCAACCUCCGCCUCCACGCCUGCGCCAUCCCGCCCCUGCCCGCGGGCUUCGAGGGGUUCCCGGAGCUGAGGAAACUUGCUCUCACCUGCGUCCGGUUCCGGGAGAACGGGGAGUACCAACUGGAGGAGAUCAUCGCCACGUCGCCCUCGCUUGAGAAGCUGGUGUUCUGGGAGGUAAAAAUCGUGGGCGACUUCAAGGAGUGGGUGAUUCAGGGGCCCAAUAUCCAGGAGAUACAGAUCAGUUCGUCCAAAGAUUUGGGCUGGAUCCUUGGGGAGCUUCCGUCCCUGCACUCUGCCAACAUUGAUAUACUGGACUAUUUAGGGGGCCGCGAUUUCGCCAAAUUCCUCGCCGGCUUUUCGAACAUUACGAGGCUUGUGAUUUGUACUCGUCAUUCACCGUUAAAUGGGGCUAUAAUACUAGAGAGGCUUCAAUGCAAAUUUGGCAACUUAAAGAGCUUGACACUAUAUACACAAUUUUGUGAGCUUCCCUCCAUUCUAUCAACCUAUUGCUUACUAAGGAAUGCCCCAAACCUUGAAAGACUCAAAAUACUGAUCGACAACAGUGCCGAGCAGAAAUUUGAGGCACAUGAAGAGUUUCAAAGUUCACAGUGGACCGGUGGCAUGUGUGCCAACCUUCAGUUCGUGCAGAUGACUGGUAUUCAUUGGCUUCCAAAUGAGAUGACUUUUAUAGAGCUUAUUCUCUCUAAAGCAAGGCUUUUUCGCACAUUAUUUAUUACUCAUGGUGAGAAUUGCUCAAUGUCGAAUGAGGAUGCAAUGAACAAGAUACUAAGUUACAGAAGAGCUUCGACUUGUGCCGAGAUUCUGUUUAAAGGGAAAGCCAGUGUCACAUUUUUUCGCAGCUGA
rnacentral:rRNA from 1 species